rnacentral:tRNA from 1 species
UUCCCAACCCAGGGAUCAAACCCAGGUCUCCCGCAUUGCAGGCAGACGCUUUAACCUCUGAGCCACCAGGGA